UGUGUGUGUGUGUGUAUGUAUGUAUAUAUAUAUAUAUGUAUUAUAUAUAUAUAUAUACAUACAUACACACACACACACA
rnacentral:miRNA from 1 species